GACGAACGCUGGCGGCGUGCUUAACACAUGCAAGUCGAGCGGUAAGGCCCUUUCGGGGGUACGACGAGCGGCGAACGGGUGAGUAACACGUGGGUGACCUGCCCUCCAGCUCUGGGAUAAGCCUGGGAAACCGGGUCUAAUACUGGAUAUGACUCCAUGACGCAUGUUGUGGGGUGGAAAGCCUUGUGCGGCUGAGGAUGGGCCCGCGGCCUACCAGCUUGUUGGUGGGGUGAUGGCCUACCAAGGCGACGACGGGUAGCCGGCCUGAGAGGGCGACCGGCCGACACUGGGACUGAGACACGGCCCAGACUCCUACGGGAGGCAGCAGUGGGGAAUCUUGCGCAAUGGGCGAAAGCCUGACGCAGCGACGCCGCGUGAGGGAUGACGGCCU
rnacentral:rRNA from 1 species